rnacentral:lncRNA from 1 species
GCUUUGAUCCUCUUAGGCAUGGAUUUUAAGAAGAAAAUAGAGAGAAAGGGUUCUUCUAUUCCUUCUUCUUCCUCCUCCUCUUGUCCUUGUUCUUUGAGAAGGUCUUAAGGAGUUGAAGAAAAUCUGUACCAAUCAUCAGGAGGUGUCUUCUUCAAAAGAGCUAACAUCUCGAUGAAGAUGCAGGCCUUUGAUAAGAUCGAAGGCUUCAUGUGGAUACCCGUAGAGUUUGGACGUGUGUGCGGCUCUGUAGGAACCUCAUCAGAUUAUUACGAUCAUCAGCUAUGG